UGGAGAUUGAACAAGUUGUUCAUAAUUAGAUUGAAAGCAAUCAUUAUGCAUGAACUAGUAGUUACUAUACAAUAUUAGCUUCAAGUAAAUAAUGCUGGGAGAACUGAUUGUUAAGAUUGCCUUGUUUGAAGCAGCAGCAUGUAUAUAUAUAUGCUUGCUUACAAGGUUUGUCUCUCAGAGUCCUUCUCUUUGUACUCUUUUCAGCUUAAUAUAUAAACUGUCUACUUAUUUACUUCUUUUAUUGCCAUUGAUUCUAGUAGUAUUAGACUCAUUAACUUGGAUACAUUGUCUUGUAAGAGAUAGCUUAUCUCUUAACAACUGUUUGGGUCAACAAAAUUAAUGUAUAUAUGAAAACGAAUAUUGAAUUUGGAUGUCCAAUCAAUUUUUUUAAUUAAUUAAUUAAAAAGAAUUGUUUUAAUUCAAAAAAUCUAAAAGAAUUUGAUAAAAAAUGUGGAAGGGCACACUUGUAUGAUGAAUAGUAGUGAUAAUAAUGAUAGAAGUCGUUUUCCUAGCACAAGUAUGGGAUUCGUCCAUUUGGUUUUAUAUUUAUCCACUUGCCUGAGUGUUUAAGAGUUAAAAAGGACAAAACUAUUAAGUAGAAAACACCAAACGAAUUGGAAGGCUUUUGUCUUCUUCAAUUAGUAUGACCUAUAUUUCUUAUUAAACUUCGUAUUUUACAUUCAAUAUCAUCAUCGCAAUCAUUUUAAUUUAUUUUCAUGAAUAAACUUUUAUGUCCCAUUUUAAUUGAAUCAUUAAAAAUUAUUAAUUGAAUUUUUUUUAAGUCAAGUGAUACUAAUUUGAUUUUUUUAAAAAAGUUGUUUGAAUUAAUUUGAUUUCGUGUCAUAAUUGACAUAAAUGGCCAUUGUGAAUGGCAACAUCAAUAGUUAUUGAGUACAGCGGCUAAAAUUUUCAGUUAAAAAAAAAAGAAUGAAAGGAAAACAAAAAGAAAAACGUGGAAAGAAAGAAAGAAAGAAAGAAUAAUAAUAAUAAUAAUAAUAAUAAAUAAAAUAGAAUUGUGGGGGCGAUGCUUUUGAACAAAUCUUGAUUUAAACUAUAUAAAGAAAAUAUGUGUUAUAUAUAUAAUUAAUUAUGUACUUAUACUUAAUAUAUUAUAUAUCUAAUGUCAUAUUUUCAUAUUCUCAGGAAGUGGUGACAUACAAAUACUUGAUUCGAUUUAUUUCUUUAGCUCCCCGUGAAUUGUAUGUUUGUAACAUUAGGGAUAGAAUUUCUUCAAUUAUCCAAUUGACUGGACGUAUUGUGUCGAUUUUUUUUUAGUAAUAUACCUAGAAAUACCCGUUGAUUCUUUAUAAACGCUGUUUCGAACACAACUGGUACACUCUAAAAUAAUUUACUUGAACAUCAUUACUCUUAGCCAUGAACCUCCUUUGAGUUUUUAAUUCACCCAACUUUUUUAUUUUCCGAUCAAAAGCAAAGAAGAAAGGAAUGAAAAGAAAAGAAAGAAAUCAAAGUUGCUAACUCAAAACCAAAUCCUGAAAAUUUUCAUUUCAAUGAAUAUAGUAAGUAAAUAUAGAUUUAUAGUAAUAGCAAAUAAUAAGAAUUAAGUAAUAUAACGAUUUUUAAUUCUAUUUAGAAUCAAUUAAAAUAUUCAAAUAAAUAUUCAAUUAAAAUAAAUUAAACUGUAUAAAUUUUAUAAUUUUAAAUUAUUAUUUUUGUAUUAAUUUAAAAACAAAAUAAAUAUUAUAUACAAUGAUUUAGUUACAGCGUGUCAGCUUGAAGUCUAAGACUUUAUAACAUAUAAAUUUAAUAGAUAAUUAAUAACUAAAAAAUUAAAUAGCAAAAGCAUAAUUGCGCCACUUCUCACCAUUUUAAUGUAUGCAACUUAUUAUAUAUUUAUAUAUAUUAUCAUUUUAUUUUAAAUAAUUUAAUUUUAUAAAUUUAGGGAUAAAUCUCAAAAUUAUACAUGAACUUUAAUUUAAUAUGCAAUUGUAUAUAUAAACUUUAAUUUGGUACAAUUAUACACGUGAUACUUUAAUUGUGGUUUAAAUACUCACUUGAAACUUUAGUUUUGAUUUAAUAAUGCAUAUUUAAAUAAAUAAAUACAUCAAUUUUUUUAUAUUGGGUAAAUAUAAUUAUUUAUGUAUGCAAUAUAUAACAUAAAAUGAUGUUAUAUCAAUAAUUGUGUUAAUAAUUUUCAAGAAUUGGAUCAAAUCAAAAUUUCAUGUAUAAAAUUGAACAAAAUCAAAGUUAAUGUAUACAAUUGCACAUUAAACCAUAAUUCAUGUAUAUUUUUUUGUAUAUAUCCCAUAAAUUUAUUUCAUUAACUUUUUACCUAUAUCAUAUAUAGAGUUGUUCGUGAACCGAGCCAAGGAAUGCCUGCUCGAAAAAAUGAGAGGGUUUGGCAAAAAAAUAUAUGCCUAAAAAAUGGGCUUGGAUAAAAAGACAAGGCCCGUUUAGAAAAUGAACCGGCAUUGAGUAGGGUUUUUUUGUCCGGGCUCAGCCUAACCCGAAUUUUCAAUUAAAAAAAACCUUGUUGUUUUUGCUGCUAUUUUUCCAUAUCUUGGUGUUGUUUUCUCACUUUUUGCCGCUAUUUUACUACCAUUUCACUAUUAUGUUACUACUAUUUUUUUUAAUGUUUGGAUAUAGUAUAAUAAUUGUUUUAUUGUUAAUUUUAUCACUAUUUUAGAGACAUUUGUUUGUUAUGUUGUACUUAUUUUAGUUUUUAUUUAAGUAUAAAAAAAUUUAAAAUUUAUUUUCAAUUUAUUGAUAAACAUGUAAUUUAAUAUUUUCAGUGUAUUUAUUGUAUUAUAUUUGUUAAAUUUAUAUAAAAUUAAAAUUAAAAAAAUAUGGACCGAGAUGGGAGUUUAACAAAAAUUUAGGCCCAUUUUUCAAGUCGGGCCGAUCUCAAACCUAACAAUCGGACUUAAAAUUUUGUUAGAGCUCGGCCCAUCCCAUGAACAACUCUAAUUAUAUAUAUAUGUCAUUCUCUAAUAAUAAUAAUAAUAAUAAUAAUAAUAAGUGGAUAACAUAAAACUAGUAGUAAAGAGUAAGAAGACAAAGAAGAAUUAAGUGGAUAACAUAAAACGUGCGAAAACAUUUAUCUUCAAUUCUGACACAUAAAGCUAGUAUUUUUGGGUAAAGUAUAGAAAUGGUGAUUAAAUUAUUGUUGAUGUUCUAUUUUAAUUUUUAAUUUUUCUAUUUUAGUUAUUAAAUUAUUUGAAAUUAAAUUUUUUGGUUAUCAAAGGUUAACAGUAGUUUGAAAUUUAACAGAAAUAUUGAUGUGAACUUUUCUUAUUGAUUUAAUAAUAAAUUUAGCCUUCUAAUAUUUAUAUAUUCUAUUAAUUUGAUACUAAAUAUAAAAAUUUAACAAAUUUAACCUUCAAUAUUUACAAAUUUUGUUAUUUUAAUUCAAAUUCUAAAAAAAAUUUAAUAAAUUUAACCCUCAACAUUAAAAAAUUUGAUAAAUUUCAAUUUUUAAAAUUUUGUAAAUUCCUAAAAUAUAAAGCAUCAUUCUCCACCUCAUAGGAUUCCAUGUAAAUGGAUUUUCUUGAAUUCUUUACCAAGUUGUCUUGAGUUUAAUUUCUUCUUAUUUAGUUUGUGGAAUAAAUGGCAUAUAGUUAGAUGUCACUGCAGCUGACAAUGAAAGGUUUGACAAAGUUGAUAAAUUCAGAGCUUUUGAUGCUGAGCUUCAAAUCAGUCUUGCCUCCACUCACCCAAGAAAUCAACUUUACAAUUUUUAUUAAGUCUUAACUAGAUUAAUAUGAGUAUUGUUAUCAAUAUAGGAGAAAGUGAAUUUUAGUGCGUUGAAACACAUUAUCUUCUUAUUGAUGAAUUGAGGAGGGGCUAUGAAUAGUUUUAAAUAUUAUAUUAAAAAAGCAGAGAUAAUUGAAACCUACAAUAAUAUUGUUCAAAAAAAUUACCUAAAAACACGAAAUCUUACUCCCUGAAUUUUCUAGAAACACAAAUAUUUCUCCCUGCCUUUGAUGGUGUAUACAUGCAUGGCCAUGUGUGAGCUCCUGCAUUUUAACUAAUCAACACAGAUAAUACCCUCAAUGAGACAUUAAAAUUAACUUUUAUUUUUGUUUUUUCAUAAAUUUUAUAAUUUUGUAUUUCAAUGAAAAAAUCUAAAUCUAAGUUGAUCCGAGUCCAAAAAAAAAUCUGAAGCUGUAAAAAGUUUGAUCUGAGGCUGCUCAUUUGCCACCUCUAAUAACCAUUUGAUAGAGGUUUAAUAUAAAGGAAUUUAGAUUUUAGGAAUUUAUAAAAUUUUUAAAAUUAAUUUUUUAUUUGUAAAUACUAAGGGAUAAAUCUAUUGAAGUUUUUAAAAUUUGAACUGAAAUGUCAAAAUUUGUAAACAUUGAAGGCUAAAUUUGUUUAUUUUUUCUAUUUAAGACCAAUCUGAUAGAAUGUGUACACAUUAGAAGACUAAAUUUAUUAUUAGACCAAUAAAAAAAUGCCCAACUUAACGCUUUCUCAAAUUUCAAACCGAUGUUAAUAUUCAAUGACCAAAAUUUUUUAUUUCAAAUAGUUUAGUGACCAGAAUAGAAAAAAAAUUAAAAGUUUGAUGACCAAAAUAGAACGCGGAUAAUAAUUUAAUGAUAUUUUUAUACUUUAUCUGUUUUUUAUGAUUAUUUAUACAUAUCAAGUGGAGCUAAUUUAGGGAAAAGAAUCAAUGGUUAAGGUUGUUGUUGAUACUUAAUGAUCAGGGUCCAAAUUUUGCUAAUGUAAUUUUCCUUAUCAUAAUUUGUAUCUUAAUUUUGUUACCAAAAAAAUAUUAGUAAUAAAUAAUAUAUGCUCGAGAAAUGUACGUAUGAUUGAUUUAAACAAUACAUGUUGGAGUAAUUUACAUAUGGAUUUAAAAUAAAUUUUAAAAAUAAAAUAAAAUUUUAAAAAUCCAAAAGUAUUUUUUCUUUUAAAAAAAUUUAAAAAUAAUUUUUAAAUUAUUUACAUGAUUGAUUUAAAGGAUUUCUUUCUAUUAAUUAUUUUUAUAUUAAAUUUAUUUUCCUUUAUGUAUAACAUUUAAAGGGUUUGUAUAUAUGCUAACUCGCGAGUCAAUUAAAAUUUGUAUUAUAUUCAUUGAAUUUUUUUAAAAUAUAUAUUUUAUUAAUUUAUUUAUUUAUUUGAGACCCAUGAUAAACUUGUAUUUAAAGUUAUUGGUGCACACUAUAAAUUCAUAUAUUGAAAAUGAUAGGUGCUAAAAGUAACAUGUUUUAGUCUCAUUCUUAAUGUGUUUUUGGAUGAUUAUUCGAUAUAAAAUGGUUAAUUUUAUGCUACUAAACUUUUCAAUUUACGUUCUACACUUAAUAGAGCAUUUAGGAGCAAAAGAAGCGAAAAACGAGCGAAAAUAAAAAAAAUAGGAGCAAGUCUCAAAAGCCACACAGGCUGAGCCAUUCCACACGGGUUGGACACAUAACCGAGUGAGCCACACGACCAUGUGCUAGACUGUGUGGAAAUCGCAAAUUACACUCCAAACGGCGUGAAAACACGUUAAUUUUAAGGUUUUUUAAGCAUUUUAAUACCUAUACAUGACAAAGAUAAGAAGAGGGGAGAGAGUCGUCAGAAAAUAUUAAAGAAAACAACUUAAAAAACACCAUUGAAGCUAACUUUGAAGCAAAUUUUCAUCAAGAUUGAAGAUCUCAUUUUGAUUUUUUUGAAGUUUAUUAUGAGUUUCUUUAUUUAUUGUAGUUAUACUGUCUUUAGGAUGUUUUUAUUUGCUAUCAUGAACGAAUUUUCUAAAUACCUAGGGAGAUGAAUCCUAUCAUGAAUUAUGUUAUUUGAUUUCUAUUUUUACGUAAUAAAGACUUAGAUCUUAUUCUCAAUUAUGUGUGCUUAAUUCUUGGUUUAAUAUUUCUAGACUAUUAAUCAAUGUUUGAUGUGCUUAAAUCAGAGGAGGAAUAAACCCUAUUUAAGAGUAGAUCUAGCGUAAAUGAGUGGAGUUGCAUGCAAUCCUAGAAAUAGGACAACAUAAAUCUACCGUAAUAGAUCCAAAUCUAAUAGGGGAAUCUAUAGAUCGAGUUAAUACGAUGAUAGAGGUUUUAAUUAGAAAUAAAUUUCAGUUAAUUAACCUAGAGUCAGUUACUCUUAGUCUUGAAGAGAUAUAUUAGCAUAAUUUAGGGAUUUUUACAGAUCAAUAUUCUAAGUGACGAAGUUGUGUAAUAUAGAUUGAUAAUGACAUAUGAAGUCUAGGUAGAUUCUUUCCUAGGUAUUGUCUCGCUCUUGGUUAUUAUUUGAUUAUUUUCUUGAUUUGUGCUUUGUUGUGUUAUUUAGUUAACUAAUUUAGUUAAUUUUAGUUCCAACCAAUCACUCCAAUUUAUCAGUUAAAUAAUAGAAAAGACGGUAAUUACUGGUACUUUUAGUCUUUGUGAAAACGAUAUCUUUGCUCACUAUAACUAUACUAUUAAUUGAUGUGCACUUGUCUGAGUUAGAUUUUUAGUUGGUUUACGACUGCAAUCAAAAAACUCAUUAAGUUAGCACAAACUAAGUUAAUUAUUCGUUGGUUGCUUUAUUUUUUUUCCUGAAGUUUCGAUUUCAUCUUUCAUUAUGUACAACAAUUUUGGUAUAAAAAUAUCAAAUUCUCGACACUUAAUAUAUACCUUUGAAAUAUAAACACAUGCAUCAAUUUUUUUAGGUUCCUCACAACUUACUUGUCCAAAAUUCUUGUAUCUUUCAGUUCUCCUGAUUGAAUCAAAAUUUGACUUUGUAAUUAUUUUUUAAGGACCUCAAACUAUCAAUUUAUAGUAUAAAUUUUCAAUAGCUUUCAUUCUUUACAAAUUGGUCCCUAAUUAAUCAACAAUGGUAUUAAAGCUUAAGCUUAGGGUCCCGUUGUUUCACUGAAAAUGGCUUUCGAAAAAUAAUUUCUAGAAAAUGACUUACUUUCCUAGAAAAGUUAAUAUUUUCUGAUGUUUGGAUGAAUCAGUGUAAAAUAUUUUAUAUUGUUUGACAAAUUUCUUAAAAAUAUUUCAUAAAAGCUGUUUUCAAUGAAACAAACAUGCAUUUGAGAUUUUCUUAUCUUUUCAUUGUUUAAUUAAGUUUAUCUUAUAUCUAUAAAUUUAUAUUUUACAUUUUUUUGCAUAUAAUAAAAAUAUAUAUUUUUUAAUUCAGGUUCACUACCAUGUCACUUUUUAGUUACAUGACUACCAAGUGAGUAUUUUUUUUAUUUAAAAAUGUGACAUCAACAAAAUUGACAAAAAAAAAAUUUAGCAAUGUCAACAAUUGGACUUGAUUUUCAAAUCUGAAAAGUAGAGGGACUAAAUUCUUGAAAAUAAAAGUAUAGAGACUAAAUUGAAAAUUUGUGAAGAAUACAUAGACUUAUCACAUUUUUUAACUUUUAUACUACAAAAUAUUUAUCAUUAAUAUAUUUAUAAUUAUAAUAAAUAUUUAUUAUUAAAAUAUUAAUAUUAAAUAUUUUCAAUAAGAAGAAUAUUAUUUAAAAUUAUUUUUUUUAAUUUUUUAUUAAAAUAAAAUUGAAAUAUUAAAUAAUUUAUUAAAAUAAUUAAUUUUAUUAAUAAUUAAUUUUAUGACUAAAUAUAAAUAAUUAAAUAUGUGUGUUUAAUAAUAUUGAAAUAUAUAAUAUUUUAUAUUAAUAUUUUAAAUAUUUUUAAAAAUAAAAAUAAAAUUUAUUUUCAAUAUAAUAAUAUUAAUAUUGAUUUAAAUGAAUUUUUAUAUAAAAAUAAAAUUACCUAUAGAUGAGCUCUUUUCCAGAAAAUGACUUACACUUUUCAAAAGGAUAAGUCAUUUUAUAGGAAAAAGAGUUCAAUUUUACAUUGACCUGUAAGUCAUUUUCCGAUGACCAAAAUGUUUUCUGUAAAAUAAACAUAAGAAAAUGAAGAAAAUAUUUUCCGUAAAACCUUUUACAUGUAAACAAACGGACCCUUAAUUCAAGCUUGUUCUAACAUAACCCACUUCACUAUUAGCAUGACUCUUCCUUAUACUAUGUUUAACCAUUAACCCUUCUCAUGAUUUCUAACAAAAAUUCUCUAAGUUCUCUUUAAUGGAAACUUCUAUUAGCUUCAACAAUAAGAAAUUCUAACCAUUGGGUUGGUUGUAUCAAGUUUCAUAGUUUAAAAAACUAUAAAAAAAUUAUUUAGAAAACAAUUUGUUUACCUUUGAUGGCCUUGAUGGAGAACAACUUGGUUUCUUCUUCUACUUAGUUUAAAGAAUGCAUGAAGAAGAAGAAGAUUUCCCCUCUCCCUCUAUCUUAAAUAUAUAUAUAAAUAACCUAUUAAUCAAGGUAAUUAACUCACUAAUUAAUCUUAAUUAGUUAUGAUCUAAUGGCCAUAAACUUACCAUAAGAAAAUUAGUGGAAAUGUGUGGCAUUGAUAAUGGUUUGCCAAUAAUCAAACUUCGGGCAUGGUAAUAUUGCAAUCAGGUCCUUGGUUUAAUUACACUUUAAGUACUUGCUAAAUUCUCUAAUCAAUUCCCACUAGUUGGAUCACUUGAACAAUUGGGUCCAUGUAUUAUAGUUACAACUUAUCUAAUUUAAUCAAUUAAUGAUUUGACUUUAUAAUUUCAUGUGCAACACACAAACUCCUCCGGUAAAUUCUCAAGCUAGCUUUAUUUAAAAAUUUGGCCUCAAAACCAGCUUUCCAAAUGUUCAUGAAAAUUGAGUUGUUACAUUAUGGUAUUUGUUUUGUUCAGCUUAUUUGUCAAGCUCUAUUCCUUUGAACUUAUGUUCGUUGACUUUGGUGUUGCUUAAAUGAAAAUGUGGUGAACAAUAUUAUGGAUAGGAGGAGUGUAUGAUUGAGUAUGUGUAACACCCCUAACCCACAUCCUUCGCCAAAUUAAAGUGACAGAGUGUUAUUAUUCAAAACAGAACAUUCCAUGACAACACAUAAACAAUUAUGCAAAUUAUCACAAUCAUUAAUUAACCAUAUUAAAAUAUAACAUAAGUAUCCAUACGACCUUUAAAUCGAGCUUAUAUGGCCUUAAAAAUAGCUUGGGAUCAAUCUAGGAUCAAUUUGGAACAUAACAUAAAUUUUAAGAAAAAUCUAAAAAUUUUGGGAAACAUGGGUCACACAACCGUAUGUCCAGGCCGUGUGACAUAGCCCAGACCUUGUGGGAAUUCAAAAUCAGGACACUCAAUCAUGUCCUAGCCCGUAUGUCUACCUGUGUGAAUAUUUGAAAUAGGGUCCCACAGUCGUGUCGCGGCCAUGUGCUAAACCGUGUAUAUAUUCAAAUUAUGAACACAUGGCCGUGUCGCAAGCCAUGUGCUAGACCGUGCUCAAAACUAUUUUGAGACACACAGCUGUGCCUUAGGCUGUGUGAAAUUUUCACUUUAGACAACGACACACAGCCGUGUGCCAGACCAUGUACACCAAAAUGUACCUUAAAAAUCAAAUUUACCAAAACAUGUUUACUUAGGCAUCAAGCAACCUAAUUACCAUCAAUCAAACUCAUUCAAAACACAAUUAAACAGGUUCAAAACAUCCAUCCUAAGUGCCUAGCCAUUGUGCCCUCAUUGACAUCAUAAUUCAAUAAUCAAAUCAAUCACAUUUAAACCAAGAUUUAAACAUUCAAAUUAUAAAAUCAUCAUUAACCAUUCAUACCAAAACACUGAUCAUUUCAAGUCAUAAACACCUAGCAAUAUUCACAUACUUUAUAAAGCUUAACUACCAAUACCAAAUAAGAUCCAUACACACAUACAUACCAAACAAAACACAUAUUCACAAGUAUCAUUCAAGAUUUACAACUUUACAUGUAAUUAACAUAAUUUCAAGUCAAUUAUUACAUGUCAUACAACCCAAAACAAACACUAAACAAACUACCAAUAGUUUCUCGAAUAGUGUGAUUCUUGAAAUCAAAUUGAUCACCCGAAGCGUCAAAAAUAAAUCUACAAGAAAGCAUUGGAAGAGACACAAGAGUAAGCUUACUUAAGCUUAGUAAUUUCCAUGGAUUUAAACAAUCAACUUACCGGAUAAACUUAUCUAAUAUAGAGUAUAGAAAAGUCAUAAAUCAUAAUCAUGUCAUCCAUAAUCAGAUCACGAGUGAGUCUUAAACUUAAAUAUGAAUGAAUUAAUUCAAUCAAUUACAUUAUAUCACUAAAUUAUACCCGAUGAACGUUGCAAUGGAUUUGGAUACACAGUUAACCAACCAAACACUCCAAAUCACUCAAAUGAGCUAGCCAUCUGAAAGUACACAUGGGCACCAAGUGCCAAGCCCAUAGGCUAACAUCCCUCCGAAACACACCUUGUCACCAAGUGCCAAGCCCGUAAGCUUUACAUCUGCCCCAGAAACACACCUGAAGCACUGCAAUAUAACGUAAUAGUUCGCAACAAAUGUUGAACUUCAAUAUAUUCAAUAAACAUGAAUAAGAUCAGAAUCAUCAUCUCCACAUCCACCAAUCUCGUAAAGCGCACGAUAUAACUUAUUGACAUGCCAAUUGUAUCCUAUCAUACAUUCAUCGGCUCACAUAUUUGUCAUUUAACAACAUUUAAUACAAUUUCUUUCCCAAAUCAUUUCACUUACCACAAUUCAAUACUUCCAUGUCAUUUAAUAAUUUCAAUCCACAAGUAAUUAAAUAUUUAAAUUAUACUAAAAUUAAACUGUACAAACUCACUAGGGCCAAAUUGCAGAAACAACAAAAGUUCAGGGACUAAUCAACAACCUUCCCUUUUUCCACAAUUAUCAACUUGAUCUUGAUCUAUAAUAUAAUUUAUUUCAAUUAUUAGCCUCAAUUUUCAUAUUCUAAUCAUUUCAAAACAUAUGAUCUCUUAUUUAUAAAUUUACACAUUUAUCCCAAAUUUUUACAUAUUAUACAAUUUAAUCCCUAUGACCAAAUCAAGCUUAGUUCUACAAUUAAAUUCUCAAUCCAUAGAACUAAAUUUUAACCACAUCCAAAACAAUCCAUAUAUGCUAAAAUUUUCAAGAGUAACAUGUCUAUUUCAGUUAAAUCACUAAACAUCAAAUUUUGUAAAAAUCACUUACAAACUCAAUACAUAUGGUCACCAAGCUUCAACCCAAACUAUUUACUACUACAAAUCUUCGAAAAUUUCAAUACAUAAUUUCUAUACUUUGAUAACUUCACAAAUAAACUCCAAAACUAGCUAAAUUCCAUUAUCAAUAGCUCAAAACUUAAAAUUUGAUGAUGAAUAAACCAAGAAAAUACUUACAUGCAUUAAAAACUAACAAAAACCAAGAUCCAAGCCUUAGAACAAUGGUGUUUCGGCCAAACCUAAGAAAAAUAAAGAAGAUGACCACUACCCCACUUUUGUUUUACUUUCCUUUUAUUAUUAUAAUAAUCUUUAUUUAUGAAAUUAUAACAUUAUAAAACACCAAUUUAAUUUUUUUUCUCUCUUUACCGCCCAUAUUAACUAACUAUGGGCUAAUGGCAACAUAACCUCCCUUAGUUUACUAAUUUAAGCUAUUAUAUUAAAAUAAAUCUAUAAUAAGCAACUUUUCCACCUAUUACAUAUUAAUCUUUUUUCUUUAAUCAAUUCACUAUACGUUAAAUUUUCUAAACCAAAACUUAAUACGACACUGAUGACUUUGUAAAUAUUAAAUAAUUAAUAAUUCUAGACUGACACGUCGAAAGUGUAGUCCUAAAACUAUUAUUUUCGACACCACUGGAAAUCGAACUGUUAUAGUAUGAUUCUACCUCUUAGGGGGAGACGUAUUCUAGUUUCCUUUGACUUGUUUAGAUGAUGUGUUAAUCAUUUGCUACUGGUUUUGUCAAAAUGCCAAAUGGUGAGAUUGUUUCAAACUUUGUUCAUGUUCGAACAUUAGAUUAAACAAUGCUUAAUUUGAUGCAUUCAAAGAAUUUAUGUUGGCAUGUUUGACUUUAUAAUGAAAUGGCUUAUGAUUUAAUCUCGUUGAGUAGCAAAUGGGGAAGUGAUUUUGUGUUAUAACAUGUGAUGAUCAUUAUCUUUCAAUCAACUACCUUGAAGAAGAAUGGGAGGAGUUUGAACUUUUGUGGACUUUCGUAAUAUUUGAAGCUGCUAAGAUACUUGUUUAUAAAGACUUUUAUGAUAUAACUAAUCAAAAUAAUUCAUGUCAGAAUUUUUGGAGUUUUAAACUUAUGAAGACUCUAGUAUUGGCCUAUAAAUAGGCAUAAUUACCGCACAUUGAAAAUAGGCUUUUGGAGGGUUUAAGUUGGAUGCUUUGGUGAAUUUUUCCUGUGUUUUAUACAACACUCUUUUUUAAGUUUUUAUUGGGGGAUAUUUGCUUGAUUGUAAGUGAGAUAUUUUGGAGAGAGUGAUUUGUAAUAAUUUAGGUUCAAUAUUGAAGUUGCAAAUAACUACAAGGUAAUGGUAAUUUGGACUCUAGUCAAUAGUUAAUCAAGACGAAUUGUAAAUAAAAAUUAUUUUUUAAGUGAAACUUUACAGAAUAAAACUAGUGAACUCAAACUACGCUAACAAAUAUUAUAUACUAUCUUUCCUUACUUUACUCGUUGCUUUACCUUAUUUUAAAAUUGCUUUGUCAUAAAUGUAUUAUGUUUGACCCUUUCCGAUCGAAAUAAAAAAAUGAGAUUGAAAUUGUGAUAAAGCUAAAAAAAAGUUACAACAAAUAUGAUUAAUAUUAUUUUUAUAUAUACUUACUAAAAUUUAAAAAGGAAUUACAUUUAUCGAAUAUUAUUUUAUUUAAUAAAUAUAAUUAAUAUAUUUUAUAUAAAAUUUAAACUUUUUAUUAUUUGUUAGCUAAAUUUUAUUAUUUUUAUUUUCUUUAUGAAUAAAAUUAAUUUUCCUAAAAUUUGAGAUAAAAAAAUGUUAUAUAGAAAAUUAAAUUAGUAAAAAGUGCAGUUCAUACUUUAUAAUUAUUAUAAAUGAAAAAAUAUUAUAAAAGAUAAAUAUUAAACAUAAAAAAAUCAAUUCUAAAAUAAACUUAACUAUUAUAAUAAAAUAUUUUUAUAUAAAAAAGAAAUUAUAGAAAAGACUUACUGAUUAUAUUUCCAAUUUUCGACAUUCAUAAAAAAAAAGUGGUCCUAAUAAUUUAUUUAUACAAAAAAAAAAGUGGUCCUAUUAAUUAACCUCACAUUUGAAAUGUGUUAUAUGUAAUAAUAUUAAUAUCUUUAUCAAUUUUGGAGGUUCAUCCUUUCCCAUCUCUAUAAAUUCGCAUGGAGAAAUAAAGCAAUACAUCAACACAAUCUGUAUAACCAUGAAAACCACAACAGCUUCAGUGUUUCUUCUUUUCAUCAUCUUCUCAGUCACACCAUCAUCCUUUUUGUUUGGUGUAGCCAACGCUACAAACGAACCUGUACUCGACUUUGAUGGCAACGAGGUUCAAACAGGCACCCCAUAUUACGUUGUGUCGUACAUAUGGGGUGCUGGUGGUGGGGGGCUUGACCUAGGCAGGCCUAGUGGAAACCCAUGCCCGGAAGUCGUUGCUCAAAGAGGAUCCGGUGACAAUGGUAUUCCGGUGAUAUUUUCUAAUUCGGACUCCAACGAUGGCGUUGUUCGCCUAUCCUCUGACAUAAACAUAGAGUUCAUUUCCCUCAGACCCAAACUUUGCCGAACAACAACAGUGUGGAAGGUCGAUGAUUACGACCAUUCAGCCGGAAAAUGGUGGGUGAUAACCGAUGGGGUUAAAGGGAACCCAGGUGCCAACACUUUGACCAGUUGGUUUAGAAUAGAGAAGGUGGGUACUGAUUUUCAAUAUUACACAUUUAAGUACUGCCCCGCAGUAUGUGGAACAUGCCCAGCCUUAUGCAACCAAAUUGUGAGAGACUUUGAUGGAGAAAUGGUACGUUUGGCUCUCACCACUGGCCAUGGAUGGCCAUUUAUCUUUAAGAAAGUUGGAAAAUCAGCCAUGGAGAUUGAACAAGUUGUUCAUAAUUAGAUUGAAAGCAAUCAUUAUGCAUGAACUAGUAGUUACUACAUAAUAUUAGCUUCAAGUAAAUAAUGCUGAGGGAACUUAUUGUUAAGAUUGCCUUGUUUGAAGCGGCAGCAUGUAUAUAUAUAUGCUUGCUUACAAGGUUUGUCUCUCAGAGUCCUCCUCUUUGUACUCUUUUCAGCUUAAUGAAUAAACUGUUUACUUAUUUACUUCUUUUGUUGCCAUUGAUUCUAGUAGCAUUCGACUCAUUAACUUGGAUACAUUACCUUGUAAUUAACCAAAAAGUUAUGUGUAUAUAUAUAAAGAGUGUGUGAGAGAAAAAAUAGAAUACCAAGUACCAAGUGAAAAAUGUUAAUACUAGGAUUAUUCAAAGCGAUUUCAAUGAACAGAAAUGGAAUAGUCGUCGGGUGGUUAGGGCAUUUUAUCUUUAGAGAUAAAGAAGGUUGGUUCAUGUUCGGAGUUUGUGGCUACUCCUUCAAUAAUAUCGUUUUUAAAGUUUAAACUUGUAUCACAUUUUAAACACGUAAUGUAUCUUACCAUUACAUCCAACAAUAUUAACCAUUUACUCUAUUGUAUUGUAUUGUAUUCUAUUAUUAAUUAAUGAUUAUGAUAUGUAUUAAGUUUAAGAUGAAUUUUCUCAGUAAUAUAUAUCAAUGGAAUCAAAUAUUUGUAUUUAAAGUUUUAACUCCACAUUAACUUUUUCUUUAUUUUGUCCGUUUGCUGGCGAUGAUUAGGAGAUUAAUGGUUGGUAUUUGUGGUUAGUAGGUUAUAACUCAAUAGUGAACUCGAGGGUUGAUAGUGGCCCGACUCCACUUAAAUAAAAAAUUUUACAUUUAAAUCUCUUUAUAAUUUAUAAAAUUUUAAAUUAAUAAUAAAAAAAUUAUAUUUUAACUCUCUAAAAUUAAUAAAAAUGAUAAAAAUGUAGAAGUAAAUUUAUACAAUUAAUGAUAAUAAUGAUAAGAAGUUGUUUCCUGUCACAUGGAAAUUUAUGGCAUCGUCCAUUUGGUUUUAUAUUUGUCCAUUUGCUUGGUUAAGAGUUGAAAGACAAACUAUAAUUAAGUAUACAAAACCAAACGAAUUUCAAGGGUUUUCUCUUCAAUUAUUGUCGAAUUUAGCUAAUUAUUAGUAAUUUUUAUUAUUUAAUUAUAAAAAUUAUAAAAUAAUGACUUAAUUAUAAGAAUUAUAAAAUAGUGACUUAAUUAUAAAAAUAUAUAUAAAUAGCCAUCUAAUUAUUUAAUUUUUUUUCUUUUUUAUCAUCACCGGAUUAAUGGUGGUAAUUUUUAUAAUUGACAUAAUAGUAACUUUAACCAUUAAUAAUUAUACAUUAUGUCAAUUUAGUCUUGAUUCUAAAAAAUUUAACCUUUGACAUUUACACAUAUAUAAUUUGACAUUUUUAUAAUUUUAUUUUUUACUAAAAAUAAAUCAUGAAAAUAAUAAAAUAUGCAUAAAAAUAAAAAUACAGCUACCGAGUAUAUGUCUUAAUGUAGAUUUAUAACAAUUAUCUUUUCAUAAAGAUAUUUUAUUAUAAAAUAUAUAAUAAGCACUUCCCUGUAACAAAUAAAAUUGUAGUAAACAAAUGAAAUUAUUAUAAAGAAGAAUUUUCUAUUUUCAUAAUAAUAAUAAUAAUAAUAAUAAUAAAAGAAAAGAAAAAAGUGGUUCUAUUAAUUCACCUCACAUUUGAAAUGUGUUAUAUGUAAUAAUAUUAAUGUCUUUAUCAAUUUUGGUGGUUCAUCCUUUCCCAUCUCUAUAAACACUACACCAGAAUAGGUUUUUAGCGGCGUUUUUUAGGCCUUUAGCGACGCUUAUUAACGCCACUAAAUCUAUUUCCGGCACUUACAAAAAAAAGCCGCUAAAGAUCAUGUUCUUUAGCGGCGCUUAGGAAAAAACGCCGCAAAAAAUCAUGUUCUUUAGCGGCGCUUAGAAAAAAACGCCGCUAAAGAUCAUGUUCUUUAACGGCGCUUAGAAAAAAACGCCGCUAAAGAUCAUGUUCUUUAGCGGCGCUUUGGAAGAAAACACCUCUAAAAGUAAUGUUCUAUAGCGGCGCUUGUUCAAAAACGCCGCUAAAAGUAGUGUUCUUUAGCGUCGCUUGUUUCACAAACGCCACUGUUUUGAUAUGACUUUUAGCGGCGCUUUUUUAAAAAAUGUCACUAAUUUUGGGAUUUUUUUAAAAUAAAAUUUUCUGUUUUUUUCAGCCCUCCUGCAACAACAAAUCAAAAGCAACCAGAUCUAAACUAACCAAAAAUAAUAAAUUUAUAUAAUAUUUCAAAUUAAAUGAAUAAAAUAAUAUUAAUUGAUAUAAAUAAAAGUGAAUUUCAGACUUUUCUUUACAAAAACGUUAAAAGUAUUUAUGCAACAUACACUAUGACGGCGGAAGUUGCGACUGCUGAAACAUCUUCAUCAUAAUCUAAAGCUGCUGUUGAAGUUCGUCGUACUUUUUGCUCUACUUUGCUUCUCUCGAUGCCGCAUCUUUUUGAAGCCGUAGCUGUAGUUCUUCACAUUUCUUUUGAACCUCUGCUUCUAUCGCUGCUUAUCUCGCUACGGCAUCUGCUUCCCUCACUGCUGCCUCUGAUUUAAGUUGUUGCUGAAGUUCUUCAUAUUUCCUUUGAACCUCAAAUGUGGUCGCUUGCAUCUGAGUCAUCUAGUCUUUUAACCUCUGAACUUCAGCUUGAGACUGACUCCCCGAAGCCAUGUAUUGGUGCGAGCUGGAUCCAAAAUAUUGGGUUGGGCUGAUAAAAGAUCCUUGAAAUCGAACCCGACCAUACUUUUCAGGACCCAAAACUUUAGUAAUAAUCCGGUUAUCAAUGUCUUCAAGAUGAAUAGAACUAUCACUAGAAGCAAUCGUUUCGUACUCUGUCUUUUUUUCCUUCAGUUUUUCCUAAUAAAUAAAUCACAUAGUUAGGAACGCAAUAUAUAGUAAAAAAAACAAAUGCAAUAUAACAAUAGUCGCAUUACAAGCAAUGAAUUAAACCAUUAGAAAAUAAACACUAUAAAUAACUAAAACAAGUGAAAUCGUAUUAAGUAAACGUACCAUAAUUUCACCAGCUUCAGGAGUCAUAGCAGAUCCAUCUUUCUUCUUAUGUGUAAUUUCAAAAAGUUGAAGGCGUCCAACUUUUUGAUCGGACGACCGUUCCUACAACACUCUUUUUUAAGUUUUUAUUGGGGGAUAUUUGCUUGAUGUAAGUGAGAUAUUUUGGAGAGAGUGAUUUGUAAUAAUUUAGGUUCAAUAUUGAAGUUGCAAAUAACUAUAAGGUAAUGGUAAUUUAGACUUUAGUCAAUAGUUAAUCAAGACGAAUUGUAAAUAAAAAUUAUUUUUUAAGCGAAACUCUACAGAAUAAAACUAGUGAACUCAAACUACUGAACUCAAACUACGCUAACAAAUAUUACAUAUUAUCUUUCCUUACUUUACUUGUUGCUUUACCUUAUUUUAAAAUUGUUUUGUCAUAAAUGUAUUAUGUUUGAACCUUUCCGAUCGAAAUAAAAAAAAUGAGAUUGAAAUUGUGAUAAAGCUAAAAAAAGGUUACAACAAAUAUGAUUAAUAUUAUUUUUAUAUAUACUUAAUAAAAGUUAAAAAGGGAAUUACAUUUAUUGAAUAUUAUUUUAUUUAAUAAAAUAUAAUUACUAUAUUUUAUAUAAAAUUUAAAUAUUUUAUUGUUUGUUAGUUAAAUUUUAUUUUUUUUUAUUUUCUUUAUGAAUAAAAUUAAUUUUCCUAAAAUUUGAGAUAAAAAAUGUUAUAUAGAAAAUUAAAUUAGUAAAAAGUUAAAAAAAUCAAUUCUAAAAUAAACUUAACUAUUAUAAUAAAAUAUUUUUAUAUAAAAAAAAAGAAAUUAUAGAAAAGACUUAUUGAAUAUAUUUCCUAUUUUCGACAUUCAUAAAAAAAAAAAAGUGGUCCUAAUAAUUUUUUUAUACAAAACAAAAAAAAGUGGUCCUAUUAAUUUACCUCACAUUUGAAAUGUGUUAUAUGUAAUAAUAUUAAUAUCUUUAUCAAUUUUGGAGGUUCAUCCUUUCCCAUCUCUAUAAAUUUGCAUGCAGAACUAAAGCAACACAUAUCAACACAAUCUGUAUAACCAUGAAAACCACAACAGCUUCGGUGUUUCUUCUUUUCAUCAUCUUCUCAAUCACACCAUUGUCCUUUUCGUUUGGUGUGGCCAACACUUCAAACGCUCCUGUGCUCGACAGUGAUGGCAACGAGCUCCGCACAGGCACCCCAUACUUCGUUGUGUCGUCGAUAUGGGGUGCUGGUGGUGGGGGGCUUGCCCUAGGCAUGCCUAGAGGAAAGCCAUGCCCGGAAGUCGUUGCUCAAAGAGGAUCUGGUGACGAUGGUAUUCCGGUGAUAUUUUCUAAUUCGGACUCCAACGAUGGCGUUGUUCGCCUAUCCUCUGACAUAAACAUAGAGUUCAUUCCCCUCAGACCCAGAUUUUGCCAAACAACAACGGUGUGGAAGGUCGAUGAUUACGACCACUCAGCCGGAAAAUGGUGGGUGAUAACCGAUGGGGUUAAAGGGAACCCAGGUGCCAACACUUUGACCAGUUGGUUUAGAAUAGAGAAGGCGAGUCAUCUUGAUUACACAUUUAAGUACUGCCCCGCAGUAUGUGGAACAUGCCCGGCUUUAUGCAACAAAAUUGCGAGAGACUUAGAUGGAGAAAUGAUGCGUUUGGCUCUCUCCACUGACCAUGGAUGGCCAUUUUUCUUUAAGAAACUUCAAACAUCAGCCAUGGAGAUUGAACAAGUUGUUCAUAAUUAGAUUGAAAGCAAUCAUUAUGCAUGAACUAGUAGUUACUAUACAAUAUUAGCUUCAAGUAAAUAAUGCUGAGAGAACUGAUUGUUAAGAUUGCCUUGUUUGAAGCAGAAGCAUGCAUAUAUAUAUGCUUGCCUACAAGGUUUGUCUCUCAGAAUCCUCUUUGUACUCUUUUCAGCUUAAUAUAUAAACUGUCUACUUAUUUACUUCUUUUAUUAAUGUCAUUGAUUCUAGUAGUAUUAGACUCAUUAACUUGGAUACAUUGUCUUGUAAUUAACCCAAAAAUUAUAUAUAUAUCAAAAAAAAAAAUGAGAGUGAGAGAGGAAAAUAGACUACCAAGUAACAAGUGAAAAAUGGUAAUACUAGGGUUAUUUAGAGUGGUUUCAAUGCACAACCGGAAUGAAUUGUUACCUUAUCUUUAGAGUCAAAGAAGGGUUCGUGACUAGUCUUUCAACAAUACUAUUUUCAAGGUUCAAACCUGCAUUAUCCUUUAAAUACGUAAUGUAUUUUAUCAUUACGCUCAAUAUUAUUAGUGAUUUACUUUAUUCUAUUCUUAAUUAAUAAUUAUGAUAUAUAUAAAGUUUAAGAUGGAUUUUCUUAUUUAUGUAUAUCAAUUAAAUCAAAUAUUUGUAUUUAAAGUUUUAACCCAACAUUAACUUUUUUUUUAAAAAUUUCUUCGUUUGUUGGUGGUGAUUAGGAGAUUGAUGGCCGGUCUUUGUGAUUGGUAGCUUUUAACACAAUGGCGAAGCUAAGGAGGCUUUAAAUGUUUAAAUGAAUAUUUUUUUCAAUUGAAAUUUCUUUAUAAUUUAUAAAAUUUUAAAUUAAUAAUGAUAAAAUUACAUUUUAAUUUUUUAAAAAUGAUAAAAACGUGGAAGCACAUUUGUACGAUUAAUAAUAAUGAUAAUAUUUUUCCUACCACAUGGAAGUUUAUGGAAACACCAUUGGGUUUUGUAUUUAUGUUUUAUUCGACACUCUUAUAAGUUUUACUGGGGAGAUUUGUUUGAUUGUAAGUGAGGUAUUUUGCGGAGAGUGAUUUAUAAUAAUUUAAAAUUAAUAUUGGGGUUACAAAUAACUAUGGGAGUAAAGUAGUUUAGACUUUAGCUAAUAAUUGAUCAAGAUGGAUUGUAGAAUAAAAUCAUUUUCGAAGCAAAAUUUUAUAAAAUUAGUAAAUCUGAAUUAUUCUAUAAUAUUGAUAUUAUCUUUCUUCACUUUAGCCCUUGCUUCACCUUAUCUCAAAAUUAUUCUAUAAUAAUCUAUUUUGUCUCAACCUUUUCAACAGAAUUUAAAAUGAAACUAUUUCUAUGAAGUGCAAACCAAAAACUUUUUCACAUACCAAUAAAUGGCAAGCAACCAUACCGUGGGCCCAAUGUCCCAACAAUCAUCUAAACAUUUUUUUUUUCUUUUUUAAAUAAUAUGUAAUAAUUUAUAUACCAUAAAUGAAUAUUAAUUAAAAUAAUAUAAACAAAAUACGACUCUUUAAUAUAAUAUGGAUCCAAAAUGUUUCAUAUUUGAAAUGCAGUUUUUGAUAAUUUCACAUUUCAUAUUUUAUCUUAGAACAAAAAGAAAAUUUGAACUUAAUAUUUGGACUAUUGAUCAAUGGUGUUUAUUAUAUUUCAAGACUAUCAGAUUAAUCUGUCGAUACUACUUAUAUGGUAUGGUUUAAAUGGGUGUGUGUGGAUAUAGAAAUUUGAAAUUCUAUUGUAUCAAAGAAAUUUUUUUUAAAAAUAAAAUAAAAAGGAAUUUGAAAUUUAAAAUUUGAGAUCAAAAUAAAAAAAAUGAGACUUGUUAUAAACCAUAAGGCUCAAAAAAGGUUACAACAAAUAUGGUUAAUAUUAUUUUUAUAUAUACUUAAUAAAAGUUUAAAAUAUCAAAUUUGUAAUAUUAUUUUUAUUUAAUAAAAUAUAAUUAAUAUAUUUUAUAUAAAAUUUAAAUAUUUUAUUGAAAUAUUAUGUUAGGUAAAUUUUAUUAAUUUUAUUUUCUUUAUAAAUAAAAUUAAUUUUAUUAAAAUUUGAGAUAAGAUAAUUAAAUUAAUAAAAGGUAUACUUCAUAUUUUAUAGUUAUUAUAAAUAAAAAAUUAUUAUAAAAAUUAAAAAAAAAGAAUUCUACAACAUAAUGAAAUAUUUUUAUUAAAAAAAACAGAAAUGAUUGAUGGAAUAUAUUUCCAAUUUUCGACGUUCAUUAAAAAAAAAAGAGUGGUCCUAAUAAUUGAUUUAUUGGGGAAAAAAAAGUGGUCCUACUAAUUUACCUCACAUUUGAAAUGUGUUAUAUGUAAUAAUAUUAAUAUCUUUAUCAAUUUUGGAGGUUCAUCCUUUCCCAUCUCUAUAAAUUCGCAUCGAGAAAUAAAGCAAUACAUCAACGCAAUCUGUAUAACCAUGAAAACCACAACAGCUUCAGUGUUUCUUCUUUUCAUCAUCUUCUCAGUCACACCAUCAUCUUUUUUGUUUGGUGUAGCCAACGCUACAAACGAACCUGUACUCGACAUUGAUGGCAACGAGGUUCAAACAGGCACCCCAUAUUACGUUGUGUCGUCCAUAUGGGGUGCUGGUGGUGGGGGGCUUGCCCUAGGCAGGCCUAGCGGAAACCCAUGCCCGGAAGUCGUUGCUCAAAGACGAUCCGGUGACGAUGGUAUUCCGGUGAUAUUUUCUAAUUCGGACUCCAACGAUGGCGUUGUUCGCCUAUCCUCUGACAUAAACAUAGAGUUCAUUCCCCUCAGACCCAAACUUUGCCGAACAACAACGGUGUGGAAGGUCGAUGAUUACGACCAUUCAGCCGGAAAAUGGUGGGUGAUAACGGAUGGGGUUAAAGGGAACCCGGGUGCCAACACUUUGACCAGUUGGUUUAGGAUAGAGAAGGCGGGUGAUCUUGAUUACACAUUUAAGUACUGCCCUGCAGUAUGUGGAACAUGCCCAGCUUUAUGCAACAAAAUUACGAGAGACUCAGAUGGAGAAAUGGUACGUUUGGCUCUCUCCACUGGCAAUGGAUGGCCAUUUUACUUUAAGAAAGUUGGAAAAUCAGCCAUGGAGAUUCAACAAGUUGCUCGUAAUUAGAUUGAAAGCAAUCAUUAUGCAUGAACUAGUAGUUACUACAUAAUAUUAGCUUCAAGUAAAUAAUGCUGAGAGAACUUAUUGUUAAGAUUGCCUUGUUUGAAGCGGCAGCAUGUAUAUAUAUAUAUGCUUGCUUACAAGGUUAAUUUGUCUCUCAGAGUCCUCUUUGUACUCUUUUCAGCUUAAUGAAUAAACUGUUUACUUAUUUACUUCUUUUGUUGCCAUUGAUUCUAGUAGCAUUCGACUCAUUAACUUGGAUACAUUACCUUGUAAUUAACCAAAAAGUUAUGUAUAUAUAUAUAUAUAUCAAAACAAAACAAAAAAGAGAGUGAGAGAGGAAAAUAGACUACCAAGUACCAAGUGAAAAAUGGUAAUACUAAAUUUCCAGAUAUAUGGCAUUGUUUGUGUGUGACAAACACCAAGUAUAAAUAGGUGGAAGUAUGACUACUUAUCAAGAGUGGUAUGGUUCAAAAACUACCCCUAUCGAAUUAUUUCAUCCUACUCAUUCGUUAUCGAUAGGAAGAAGGAUACUUCCAACAAGAAAUAUUUUGAAGGGUUAGUGUUGAGUUAGCUAAAAAUCAAAGUUUAUCAGAAGCUCGAUCUAAAAUUCGCCAAAAGGAGGAUUAUUCAAAGCGAUUUCAAUAGACAACGGGAAUGGAAUAGUCUUUGAGUGGUUAGGGCACCUUAUCUUUUGAGAUAAAGAAGGGUUGGUCCAUGUUUGCAGUUCGUGACUAAUCCUUACAACAAUGUCGUUUUCAAGGAUUGAACAUGUGUCAUCCUUUGAACAUGUAAUGUGUCUUACAAUUACACCUAACAUUGUUGGUGAUUUACUUUAUUAUAUUCUUAAUUAAUAAUUAUGAUAUAUAGUAUGUUUAAGAUGCAUUUUCUUAUUCAUGUAUAUCAAUUGAAUCAAAUAUUUGUAUUUAAAAUUUUAACUCGACAUAUCGAAGGUCUGCUACUCUAGCACGUCUUUGGUCUGCUGCUCUAGCAUGUUUUGGUUUUUUUAGGGUUUUUUUGGCUUAUUUCUCUUUGUUCUAGCGAUGACAGUUCUUGGGAUAGAGUAUUUCUUUUCAAUCUGGUUGAUUUUGAUUCGUGGCAAUGGAGGAUGAAUUGGCAGAGUUAACAUUGGAAGAUGAGGAAUAGGAGAUUUUGCAAGUACAGAAGGAAACUGAUUCUGCGACAGUGGUUUAAGAUCUUUGUCUGGUUGGAUACUUUCUCACAACGAGUGUAAUCCACUUUAUGACAAUGAGAAGCGCGAUGGCAAAUCUAUGGCAUCCUCUUAGAGGAGUUCAGAUCUCUAAUUUGGGGGAUAAGAAAUUAUUUCAAUUUUUUCAUAAAAUGGAUAUUGAUAGGGUACUAAAUGGGGAUCCAUGGACUUUCAAUAAUCAUCUUUUGGUGAUUCAUUUUUUGGAGGAUGGUGAGGAUCCGAUGAAGGUACCGCUAAUCUAUACGACUUUUAAGGUGCAAGUGCAUGAUUUACCCCCAGGGUUUUUUACUGAAUCUAUAGCAAAGAAGUUAGGCAAUUUUAAGGGUAAGUUUUUUGGAUCAAUGGAAAAAGCUUGGGUAAGGGCCUCAGGAAUUUCUUACAUAUACGGGUUUAGAUGGAUGUUAGAUGCUAUUUGAAGCGAAAAAAGAAGAUUAUGUUUUCACUUGGCAAGUGUUCCUAUGUCAACUUGAUAUACGAAUGACUAACUCUAUUCUAUUUUGUCUAUGGUUGUUUGGUAGACAAUGACUCUUUCUGUCAAGUUAGAAUGGCUAAAGGCUUAGAAGUUGUAGAGAUGGGAUGGUAUCUGUCUCUAAAAGCCCAGUCUAGGAGAGCUACUACGAUGAACAGCGUGUGGCUGCGGGAGGAAGGUAAAGGUGAGAUAAAGGGAAAUACCAUAGGACAUUUUGAUUUAGGGUAGGGAUUGUGGAAGGAUGGAAGGAAAGAAUCUAGGAUGCCCAUAGAUCUGUGUUGGGGUUAAAUUUGGAGGGUGGUUUGAAGUUAGUGUCGGGUAUGCAAGGGAACUCUUCAACGAUACAAGAUCAUUCGAAUAUGGAUCACGACUCAGAGGAAUGCGCUAUAAAAGGUAAAGAUGGGAAAAAAAGACCCAAAAAGGAUAAUGGAAAUCAUAGUGUUUCGAUUGUGACAGAUUCACUUGUGAUUAGAGAUGAGAGAUUGUUGGGACGAACUCACUUUUUAUCGGCAGCUGCCAAGGGGCAAGAUGAUCAGUCACAAUAAAAAUAAUUAGUUGGAACAUCCGUUGAUUGGGGUGUCCACAGGCUAUAAGAAGGCUUUGACAUAUGUUGAAGGUGUAUAAUCCCCAAGUGGUCUUCUUUAUGGAGACAAAAAUUAGUAAUGUGCAAAUAGAGAAUGUGCAUAGAAGGUGUGGAUUUUUAAAUGGUAUUGAUGUUUCGGCCGAUGGUUCAAGAGGAGGUCAUUUUCUAGCUUGGAAGGAAAAUGUUAAAACGAAUCUAAUGAGUUAUUCUAGUAGUCAUGUAGAUGUUGUAUUUUAGAAGAUUGAUAAUGGAGGUUUGCUGGCUUUUAUGGGACAUCAAAUGCGUGUAGCAGAGACGAUUCAUGGAAUUUGUUAAGAAAUCUAGGACGCUCUCAAGCGUUCCCUUGGCUAGUGUGUGACAAUUUUAAUGAAAUUAUAUACUCUUUUGAAAAGGUUGGGGUGCCAAGAGAGGAGAAGAGAAUAGAGGUCUUUUGAGGAGUCUUAUAGGAAUGUUAGUUAAUGGACAUUGGAUACUUUAGGGCUAGGUUUACCUGGGAAAGGGGAAACUUACCGAAAACGAAUAUGAGAGAGCGACUGGAUAGAGGAGUGGCGAAUGCCGAAUGGAUGAACAUGUUUUCUAGUGCAGUGGUUUAGCAUUUACCACAUUCUUUUCCAGAUCAUUGUCCCCUUUUUAAUCAUACGGAGCAGGAGAGUAAUAGGUUGAGGCAGAAAAGGUUUCAGUCCGAGGCAUGGUGGGUGAUGUAAGAAUCUUUUGAGGAGGAGGUUAAACAAAUAUGUCAAUCUACUUCGGGUGAUAUGUUGGCUAAGCUAGAAGGUGUGAGGAAGGGCUUAGUGAGAUGGGCGGGUUUUGUUAGAAAUAAAAGAGAGGGCCUUAAAAGGAAUUUGACUAGAAAAUUGGAGGAGAUGAUGGGAAAGGAUAGAGAUGAUGAGAAUAUUGUUGAACUAUCUUAAAAUUCUCUUGUCAUAACUUGAAGUUUGUGUCAUUUAAUAUAAGAAUACAAUUAAUGCCUGCAAUAAUGUUGGCAGGUAUAAUUAUUGUUGUAUCAAACAAAACAAUCUCAUGUAUGACUUCAAAUAUAAAACAAAAUAAUAAUUAAUUCGAAUAAAGGUAAACCCUAAGAUACCAAUCACUCCAUUAAUAUUUCAUUUUUGAACAAAUAUAUUAAGUUGUAAAUGAUAUCUUGGUGUAGUAAUUAAACACCGACAAUAAGCGUCACAUGUUUAUUACAACAGUUGCAAAUGUAAUUUUGUUAAAUAUUAGCCUCCAUUUAGGCCAGUCAAUAUUAACAUAACUUAAGUUACAUACACACAACCCCAAAAUUAUAAAAGUCCUAUUGUUAAAUUGAUUUGGUUCCUUUGACAUAGGAAAGCCGAAUUGCAUAAACAAUCAAUGUAUCCCCUAUUUUAUUCAUGUUUAUCACAAUGUUUGAAGGAGUGCUCACUCUUUUAGGGCGUGUUUACCAUUGAGGUUGAAAAGUAUCAUUAAACCCAAACAAUUAUUUCAAACCAAACAUUAAUUUUAAACUAGGAUUUUAGGCCAACCCAAAACUUCUAGCUUUUACUUUUUGGAAAGGUGCUUUUCAAUUAAAAACCUUUUUAUUCCUCGUUAAACUUUCUACUUUAUAACAUAAUGUCUAAAAUGGAAAUUUUAUUUUUCUAAAAACACUUAUAGACAACAAUAAUAAUUACUAUUAAUUUUUUCAAAAUCACUUUUCUACGGCACUGUUAAACUUAAAUGAUAAUCUAGCCUUUUAACCACUCUUUUCUAACAGAGAGCUUAUCUCUUAGCAAUAGUUUGGGCAAACAAAAAUAAUGUAUAUAUGAAAACGAAUAUUGAAUUUGAAUGUACAAUCAAUUUUCUGAAUAAUUAAUUAAAAAGAAUGUUUGAAUUCAAAAAUUUUAAAAAUUUUGAUAAAAAAUGUGGAAGCGCAGACUUGUGUGAUGAAUAGUAAUGAUAAUAAUGAUAGAAGCUGUUUCCUGGCACGAGGAACUUAUGGAAUUCGUCCAUUUGGUUCUAUAUUAGCCCUGUUGCUUCCGUGUUUAAGAGUAAAACGACAAAAUAUUAAGUAGAAAACACCAAACGAAUUGAACUAUUUUCUUAAGAUGGUGUCGGUAAUGUAUCUGUGGAUACCCAUUUGAAUUUUUAAAAAACUGAAAAAAUUAAUUUAUUUUUUAGAUUGAAUCAGCAGCAGGAAAAUAAGAAAAAAUACAACUUUGAGUUUGAGUUUGGAACUCUGAGAUUUCGCUCGGUGAUCUGAAUGGUGAGGUGGUAUGUUUAAAUACGGAGAAUAAUAUAUAUUCGACUAGCAACAAUCUGAUGGAGUGAAAUAGGAACUGAAAAAAAGGGUAAUUUAAAGUUUUGGUCAUUGUUUUAAAAGAUUACCUUCAGUCAUUAUAUUUUUCAGUUUUGGAAUUCCAGUACUACUUAAAUUGUAAUUGUUAAAUCUAUUUACUAUAAUGAUAUAAAAUUUUUAUGAAUAUUAACACUAUUAUUUUUUUUAAAGCACUUAUUCAUGGCACAAGGAACUUAUGAUGAAUAGUAAUGAUAAUAAUGAUAGAAGUUGUUUUUCUGGCACAAGGAACUUAUGAUGAAUAGUAAUGAUAAUAAUGAUAGAAGUUGUUUUCCUGGCACAAGCAACUUAUGGGAUUCGUCCAUUUGGUUCUAUAUUUCUCCGCUUGCUUGAGCGUUUAAGAGUUAAAGGACAAAUUAUUAAGUAGAAAACACCAAACGAAUUGGAAGGCUUUUGUCUUCUUCAAUUGGUAUGACCUAUAUUUCUUAUUAAACUUCGUAUUUUACAUUCAAUAUCAUCAUCACAAUCAUUUUAAUUUAUUUUCAUGAAUAAACUUUUAUGUCUCAUUUUAAUUGAAUCAUUAAAAUUUAUUAAUUGAAUUUUUUUUUAAGAUGGUACCGUUAAUGUGUCAAGUGAUAUCAAUUUAAAUUUUUAAAAAAAGUUGUUUGAAUUAAUUUGAUUUCAUUCGGUAAUCCAAACAGUGAGAUAGUGUGUUUAACUACGGGGAAUAACAUAUAUCCAAAUGGUGACAAUCUGGUGGAGCGAAACAGAUAUCGAAGAAAGAGUAGUUUAAUGAAUUUGGAGUCGACUUCUGGAAAAUCUGAAUUAUAGAAGUGAACGAAGAGGAAAUCUCUUCUUUGGUGCCGUAAUCGACAUAAACGGCCAUUAUGAAUGGCAACAUCGAUAAUUAUUGAGUACAAUGAUUAAAAUUUUCAGUUAAAAAAAAGGAAUGGAAAGGAAAACAAAAAGAAAAACGUGGAAAGAAAGAAAGAAUAAUAAUAAUUAAUUAAUAAAUAAAAAGAGAAUUGUGGGGGCGAUGCUUUUGAACAAAUCUUGAUUUAAACUAUGUAAAGAAAAUAUGCGUUAUAUAUAUAAUUAAUUAUGCACUUAUACUUAAUAUAUUAUAUAUUUAAUGUCAUAUUUUCAUAUUCUCGGGAAGUGGUAAUAUACAAGUACUUGAUUUGAUUUAUUUCUUGAUCGCUUCGUGAAUUUUAUGUUUGUAACAAUAGGGACAGAAUUUCUUCAAUUCCAAUCGACUGGGCGUAUUGUGUCAAUUUUUUUUGAGUAAUAUACCUAGAAAUACCCGUUGAUUCCUUAUAAACGCCGUUUCAAACACAACUGGUACACCCCAAAAUAACCGUUACUCAGACAUCUUUACUAUUGACCAUGAACCUCCUUUGAGUUUUUAAUUCACCUAACUUUUCUAUUUUUCAAUCAAAAGCGAAGAAGAAAGGAAUGAAAAAAAGAAAGAAAUCAAAGUUGCUAACUCAAAACAAAUCCUGACAAUUUUGGUUGCAAUCAAUAUAGCAAGUCAAUAUAAAUUUAUAGUAAUAGCAAAUAAUAAGAAUAAGUAAUACAACGAUUUCUAACUCUAUUUAGAAUCAAAUCAGAGUAUGGUAUUUUCUUUAAUCAAUUAAUUGAAUUCAAAAUAUUCAAUUAAAAUAAAUUAAAUUGUAUAAAUUUUAUAAUUUUAAAUUAUUAUUUUUGUAUUAAUUUAAAACAAAAUAAAUAUUAUAUACAAUAAUUUAGUUGCAGCAUGUCAGCUUGAAGUCCAAGACCUUAUAACAUAUAAAUUUAAUAGAUAAUUAAUAACUAAAAAAUUAAAUAGCAAAAGCAUAAUUGCGCCACUUCUCACCAUUUUAGUGUAUGCAACUUAUUAUAUAUUUAUAUAUAUUAUCAUUUCAUUUUAAAUAAUUUAAUUUUUAUAUUAAUUUUUAUAAAUUUAGGGAUAAAUCUUAAAAUUAUACAUAAACUUUAAUUUAAUGUGUAAUUGCAUACAUAAACUUUAAUUUGGUACAAUUAUACACAUGAUACUCUAAUUGUGGUUCAAAUACAUACUUGAAACUUUAAUUUUGAUUUAAUCAUACACAUUUAAAUAAAUAAAUACAUCAAUUUAUUUUUAUAUUGGGUAAAUAUAUUUAUGUAUGCAAUAUAUAACAUAAAAUGAUGUUAUAUCAAUAAUUGUGUUAAUAAUUUUCAAGAAUUGGAUCAAAUCAAAAUUUCAUGUAUAAAAUUGCACAAAAUCAAAGUUCAUGUAUACAAUUGCACAUUAAACCAUAAUUCAUGUACAGUUUUAGUAUUUAUCCCAUAAUUUAUUAAAUAAACUUUUUACCUAUAUCAUAUAUAGAGUUGUCUGUGAACCGAGCCAAGGAAUGCCCGCUCGAAAAAAUGAGGGUUUAAGAAAAAAAAUAUGCCCAAAAAAAGGGCUUGGAUAAAAAGACAAGGCCCGUUUAGAAAAUGAAUCGGGCCUUUGCUAAGGUUUUUUUUGUCCAAGCUCAGCCCGACCCAAAUUUUCAAUAAAAAAACCCUACUGUUUUUACCGCUAUUUUUUCAUAUUUUGGUGUUGUUUUCUCACUUUUUGCCACUGGUUUACUAUCAUUUCACUAUUAUGUUACUACUAUUUUUUUUGUUAAUGUUUGGAUAUUGUAUAACACUUGUUUUAUUGUUAAUUUUGUCACUAUUUUAGAGGCAUUUGUUUGUUAUGUUGUACUUAUCUUAGUUUUUAUUUAAGUAUAAAAAAUUUUUAAAUUCUAUUUUCAAUUUAUUGGAAACAUGUAAUUUAAUAUUUGUAGUAUAUUUGGUGUAUUAUAAUAAUAUUUAUUAUUAAAAUAUUAAUAUUGAAUAUUUUCAAUAAUAUGUGAAGAAUAUUAUUUAAAAUUAUUUUUUAAAAUUUAUUAUUAAAUUAAAAUUGAAAUAUUAAAUAAUUUAUUAAAAUAAUUAAUUAUAUUAAUAAUUAAUUAUAUGACUAAAUAUAAAUAAUUAAAUAUGUAUGUUUAAUAAUAUUGAAAAAUAUAAUAUUUUAUAUUAAUAUUUUAAAUAUUUUUAAAAAUAAAAAUAAAAGUUAUUUUUAAUAUAAUAAUAUUAAGCUUGAUUUAAAUUAAUUUUUAUAUAAAAAUAAAAUUACCUAUAGAUGAGCUCAUUUUUUAGAAAAUGACUUACACUUUUCAAAAUGAUAAGUCAUUUUAUAGGAAAAAGAGCUAAUUUUACGUUGACCUAUAAGUCAUUUUCCGUUGACCAAACUGUUUUCUGUAAAACAAACAUAGAAAAAUGCAGAAAAUAGUUUCCGUAAAACUUUUUACAUGUAAACAAAUGGACCCUUAAUUCAAGCUUAUUCCAACAUAACCCACUUCACUAUUAGCAUGACUCUCCCUUAUACUAAAUUUAACCAUUAACCCUUCUCAUGAUUUCUAACAAAAAUUUUCAAGUUCUCUUUAAUGGCAACUUGUAUUAACUUCAACAAUAAGAAAUUCUAACUAUGGGGUUGGUUGUAUCAAGUUUCAUAGUUUAAAAAUCUAUAAAAAAAUUAUUGAGAAAAUAAUUUGUUUACCUUUGAUGGCCUUGAUGGAGAACAACUUGGUUUCUUCUUCUACUUAGUUUAAAGAAUGCAUGAAGAAGAAGAAGAUUUCCCCUCUCCCACUAUUUUAAAUAUAUAUAUAAAUAACCUAUUAAUCAAGGUAAUUAAGUCACUAAUUAACCUUAAUUAGUUAUGAUCUAAUGGCCAUAAACUUAUCAUGAGAAAAUUAGUGGAAAUGUGCGGCAUUGAUAAUGGUUUGCCAAUAAUCAAACUUUGGGCAUGGUAAUAUUGCAAUCAGGUUUUUGGUAUAAUUACACUUUUAAGUACUUGCUAAAUUCUGUAAUCAAUUCCCACUAGUUGGGUCACUUGAACAAUUGGGUCCAUGUACUAUAGUUACAACUUAUCCAAUUUAAUCAAUUAAUGAUUUGACUUUAUAAUUUCAUGUACAACACACAAACUCCUCUAGUAAAUUCUCGAGCUAGCUUUAUUUAAAAAUUUGGCCUCAAAAAUAGCUUUCCAAAUGUUCAUGAAAAUUGAGUCGUUACAUAUGGUAUUUGUUUUGUUCAGCUUAUUUGUCAGGCUCUAUAUCCUUUGAACUUAUGUUCGUUGACUUUGGUGUUGCUUAAAUGAAAAUGUGGUGAACAAUCUUAUGGAUAGGAGGAGUGUAUGAUUGAGUAUGUGUAACACCCUUAACCCACAUCCUUCGCCGAAUUAGAGUGACAGAGUGUUACUUGUAACACCCCAAACCCAGCCUAAACGUUAUGGUCGUAUCUGGCAAUGUCACACAAUAGUGUUUUUGAAACCUCGUUGUUACGUUGAAAACAUUUCAUGUUAUUAUCUUUAGUAAACAUUUGUUAGAACUUAGGAAGUCGUCUUUAUUCAUUUAAAACAUUUGUUUUGAAACAUCCCUCGUUGCGGAAGCUUUAAUAAAACAGUCUAAGUGAUCAUGCGUUUAGAAACUAUUUUAAUUUUUUGAAAACUGAAUUUCCUACGACCAACAGGUAUAAAUCCAUAAAGUAAAAUAAAUAAAUAAAAACCCAAAAUUUAAAACCAAAGUCCCAGAAGGUCCUUAAAUUACAACCCAAAUAAUCAAUAAUAAUUAAAUCAUAAAACGUAAAUUGAAAACCAUGAAGUCCAAAAAUUACUGUGGUCACCGCUGAGUCCUCCGUCGCACCGAUUCGUCUAAGUCUGGGGAUUACCUGUGCACGUUAAACAAAAAGGGUGAGUUUACGUAAAUUCAGUGUGUAGUCCCGCAGAAACAAAUAAACAAUCAGUAUUCACAGUGCACAGUUGAACAGUCUUGGGCCCAAGCCCAUCUCAGUACAAUGUCAAAAAUGCAGUAGCAGAAUCCUACCCAACCAACCUCCACACACUAUCUCCGCCCAACCCUACACUCCAUGUGGGGAUAUAAUCAACCCACCCAUCCCUACACUCCAAGUAGUACCGAAUGCGGCACAAAACAGUAGUUUGCAGCUGAGCUGCCAGUAAAUUAGGCUUAAAGCCUUUCAGUACACUUCCUCUGAAUAACAACCCCCAACCCGAUGCAAUGCAACAUACAAUAGAUGAUAUGCUAUUAUGCAAUUUCUGUACAUAUAUUUGGUUCAGAUAUUAACAUGCCCAGUAUAGAUAUCAUUCAGUCAAUUUCACACAUUUAGGGGUCUAAGUAGCGCUUACCGACCUUACAGUAGGUUCACAGUUGACUUGGGUGACCCGUACAACCUUAGAAACAUUCCGGUAAAAUUGGGCUACAUGCCCGUGUGUGCCCGUGUGGCCCACUCGGCCCAAUUUGGCCUUGGUCGUGUGAUCCAUUUUUAAUGUAACCCAUGCUAGCUAAAUAUUCAUAUAUGUUUUCACUAUUUACUUAUAUGUUCAUUUAAAGUUGUCUACUUGAGUCAUUGUCACUAAAUUAUUUAUACCUUGAGCUACAGAAUUCCAAAUUAAGAUCCGCUUGAUGUUUUCAAAACUAUACUCAAAUACCUUUCUACCAUAAAAUUUUCAAAUUUUAUAGUUUACCAAAUAAGUACAGUAAAAUCUUCAAAUUUAUCCCAAUUCUGCUAUUUGAUAGCUUCAACGUUUCCUUACUAAAAAUUAUUUAUCUCUUAGUACGGAAUUCGGAUGAUGUUUCCUUUGUUUCUCUUGAAAAUAGACUCGUUAAGGAUUUAAACAUAUAAAUUUAAGCCCCUAAUUAUUUUUUAAAAUUUUCGAUGAUUUUUCCAAAAUCAGAACAAGGAACCAAAACCCAUUCUAACAUUGUCUCACAAAAUUCAUUAUAUCUCAUAACUUAAAAUUUCAUUGCUUACACAGUUUCCUUCAUGAAAAACUAGACUCAAUAAAAUUUAAUAUCAUAUUUUAUUCAACCUCUAACUCAAUUUCCCCUAUUUUUGAUGAUUUUUCAAAGUUAGACUACUACUGCUGUCCAAAACUAUUUUAAUGCAGAAUGUUGAUUUCCAAGUUUAAAACACCCUUAUUUCCUUUCUCUACAAUUUUUUGCAUCAUUUUCUCUUAUUUCUCGUAUUUCUCGAUAGCAAGCAAUUUCAGCUUUUCGUUGAAUCCCAUUUUCUGCAUUUUGGGUACACACCUGGUAUCGUUUCUGAUGCGUAAGCACUCUUAAGCCUCCAGAACCUAAAAAUCGACCAAUAAAUCUCCAAAUUAAUCACUUAAUUCAUUUUUAAUCAACCAAUUUUGGAAGGAACUCGACUAAAAAAACCUAACAAAACCCUUACCUUGCUUCAGUAACCACGACUUCGCACAAUCAUAGUGUCGAUUCAAAACCACCAACCCCUUGAUUAACUCAUAAACACCAAAAAAGAAACCCCUUUUCAGAGAUUAACCAAGAACGAUUAACAAUAGAAAAAACUGUUACUUACCGAACACACGCAACCAACGAUGAACAACCAAAUCAAUUGGAAAAUAAUGAAAGAAAAGGAAGAGAAAAAAAUAAUGGAAAUUUCGGCAGCAACUAGGGGAAAGAAUCGGUAGAGGAGAGAAAAAAGAAGAAAAAAUCAGAAAAAGUUUGGGUAAUUGGAGAGAAAACCAAAACUCUACUUUUUUUUCUACAACAAAAAGAUAAUCAGAUUAUUUUCUGAUAACCUCUCCCCCAUUAUCUCCUAAAAUCACUCCUUAUUAACCCACUAAAACACAACUACUCAGAAUUUUACCCCAACACAACUCUUAGCCAAAAUUGGAGCAAAAAUACUGUCUCUACGCCAUCAUAGAGAAUUGAACAUAAGACCUCCUUCACACCAACACUCCAUUUAUCCACCAGACCAGCAAGCCCAUUCUGUUAAUUAUUUGUCAUCUUUUACUUAAAAGCCUACUGACCAAAGAUAGGGCUUAUUCAUAAAAAUACCAAAAUUUUCCCAAAACCUGGCUUGAACUUGGGACCUCUCACACACCCAAAACACUUAACCACUAAAGCAGAUACACAAUUGUGUCACACCUUCGUAAGAACAAAAAUAAAAAUUUUGGGACGUUACGUUACUAUACAAAAUAGAACAUUUCAUGACAACACAUAAAUAAUUAUGCAAAUUAUCACAAUCAUUAAUUAACCAUAUUAAAAUAUAACAUAAAUAUCCAUACGACCUUUAAAUCGAGCUUAUAUGUCCCUAAAAAUAGCUUGAGAUCAAUCUAGGAUCAAUUUUGAACAAAAACAUAAAUUUUAAAAAAACCCUAAAAAUUUUGGAAAACAUGGGUCACACAGCCGUGUGUCCAGGCCAUGUGACAUAGCCCAGACCUUGUGGGCAUUCAAAAUCAGGUAACGCAGUCAUGUCCCAGCCCGUAUGUCUACUUGUGUGAAUAUUCGAAAUAGGGUCUCACGGUCGUGUCGAGGAUCGUAUGCUAAACCGUGUGUAUAUUCAAAUUAUGGACACACGGCCGUGUCGCAGGCCAUGUGCUAGACCUUGCUCAAAACUAUUUUGAGACACACAGCUGUGUCUUAGACUGUGUGAAAUUUUCACUUUAAACAACAACACACAGCCGUAUCCUAAGCCGUGUGCACCAAAAUGUACCUUAAAAAUCAAAUUUACCAAAACAUGUUUACUUAGGCAUCAAGCAACCUAAUUACCAUCAAUUAAACUCAUUCAAAACACGAUUAAACAUGUUCAAAAUAUCCAUCCUAAGUUCCUAACCAUUGUGCCCUCAUUGACACCAUAAUUCAAUAAUCAAAUCAAUCACAUUUAAACCAAGAUUUAAACAUUCAAAUUAUAAAAUCACCAUUAACCAUUCAUACCAAAACACUACUCAUUUCAAGUCAUAAACACCUAGCAAUAUUCACAUACUUUAUAAAGCUUAACUACCAAUACCAAAUAAGAUCCAUACACACAUACAUACCAAACAAAACACAUAUUCACAAGUAUCAUUCAAGGUUUACAACUUUACAUGUAAUUAACAUGAUUUCAAGUCACUUAUUACAUGUCAUAUAACCCAAAACAAACAUUAAACAAACUACCAAUAGUUUCUCGAAUAGUUGAUUCUUGAUCUUGAUCUAUAAUAUAAUUUAUUUCAAUUAUUAGCCUCAAUUUUCAUAUUCUAAUCAUUUCAAUACAUAUGAUCUCUUGUUUACAAAUUUACAUAAUUACCCUAAAUUUUUACACAUUAUUCAAUUUAAUCCCUAUGACCAAAUCAAGCUUAGUUCUACAAUUAAAUUCUCAAUCCAUAGAACUAAAUUUUAACCACAUCCAAAACAAUUCAUAUAUGCUAAAAUUUUCAAGAGUAACAUGUCUAUUUCAAUUAAAUCACUAAACAUCAAAAUUUGUAAAAAUCACUUUACAAACUCAAUACAUAUCAUCACCAAGCUUCAACCCAAACUAUUUAAUAUUACAAAUCUUCAAAAUUUUCAAUACAUAAUUUCUAUACUUUGAUAACUUCACAAAUAAACUCCAAAACUAGCUAAAUUCCAUUAUCAAUAGCUCAAAACUUAAAUUUUAUGAUAAAUAAACCAAGAAAAUACUUACAUGCAUUAAAAACUAUCAAAAACCAAGCUCCCAAGCCUUAGAACAAAGGUGUUUCGGCCAAACCUAAGAAAAAUAAAGAAGAUGACCACUACCCCACUUUUGUUUUACUUUCUUUUUAUUAUUAUUAUAAUGUUUAUUUAUGAAAUUAUAACAUUAUCAAACACCAAUUUGAUAUUGUUUUUCUCUCUUUACCGCCCAUAUUAACUAACUAUGGGCUAAUGGCAACAUAACCCCCCUUAGUUUACUAAUUUAAGCUGUUAUAUUAAAAUAAAUCAAUAAUAAGCAACUUUUCCACCUAUUACAAAUUAAUCCUUUUUCUUUAAUCAAUUCACUAUACGUUAAAUUUUCUAAACCAAAACUUAAUAUAACACUGAUGACUUUGUAAAUAUUAAAUAAUUAAUAAUUUUAGAUUGACACGUCGAAAUUGUGGUCCUAAAAUCAUUAUUUUCAACACCACUAGAAAUCGGACUGUUAUAGUAUGGUUCUACCUCUUAGGGGGAGAUGUAUUCUAGUUUCCUUUCACUUGUUUAGAUGAUGUGUUAAUCAUUUGCUAUUGGUUUUGUCAAAAUGCCAAAUGGUGAGAUUGUUUGAACUUUGACUUCUUUUCUUAUUUCACUUCAUGUUCGAAGAGUAGAUUAAACCAUGCUUUGAUGCAUUCAAAGAAUUUAUGUUGGUAUAUUUGAUUUUAUAAUGAAAUGGCUUAUAGUUUAAUCUCGUUGAGUAGCAAAUGGGGAAGUGAUUUUGUAUUAUAACAUGUGAUGAUCAUUAUCUUUCAAUCAACUACCUUGGAAAAGAACGAGAGGAGUUUGAACUUUUGGGGACUUUCGUAAUAUUUGAAGCUGCUGAGAUAUUUGUUUAUAAAGACUUUUAUUUAUCAUUAAUCAAAAUAAUUCAUGAGAUAAUUUCAACCUUUAUAUUGGAGUUCUAAACUUAUGAAGACUCUAUUAUUGGCCUAUAAAUAGGCAUAAUUACCGCACAUUGAAAAUAGGCUUUUGGAGGGUUUGGAUACUUUGGUGAAUUUUUCAUUGGGCUAUAAAUAGGCAUAAUUACCGCACAUUGAAAAUAGGCUUUUGGAGGGUUUAAGUUGGAUACUUCAGUAAAUUUUUCUUGUGUUUUAUACCACACUCUUUUUAAGUUUUAUUGGAGAUAUUUAUUUGAUUGUAAGUGAGGUAUUUUGGAGAGAAUGAUUUAUAAUAAUUUAGGUUCAAUAUUAAAGUUGCAAAUAAUUACGGGUAAAAGUAAUUUGGACUGUAGUCAAUAGUUGAUCAAGACGAAUUGUAAAUUAAAAUUAUUUUCUAAGUAAAAUUCUACAAAAUAAAACUGGUAAAUUCAAACUGCGUUAAUAAAUAUUACAUAUUAUCUUUCCUUACUUUACUCGUUGCUUUACCUUAUUUUAAAAUUGUUUUGUUAUAAUCUAUUAUGUUUGAACCUUUUCGAUCGAAAUAAAAAAAAUGAGAUUGAAAUUGUGAUAAAGCUAAAAAAAGGUUACAACAAAUAUGAUUAAUAUUAUUUUUUAUAUAUACUUAAUAAAAGUUAAAAAGGGAAUUCCAUUUAUUGAAUAUUAUUUUAUUUAAUAAAAUAUAUUUUAUAUAUUUUAUAUAAAAUUUAAACAUUUUAUUGUUUGUUAGUUAAAUUUUAUUAUUUUUAUUUUCUUUAUGAAUAAAAAUAAUUUUCCUAAAAUAUGAGAUAAAAAAUGUUAUAGAGAAUUAAAUUAAUAAAAAGUACAGUUCAUACUUUAUAAUUAUUAUAAAUGAAAAAAUAUUAUGAAAAAAUAUUAAACAUAAAAAAUUAAUUCUAAAAUAAACUUAACUAUAAUAAAAUAAUUUUAUAUAAAAAAAGAAAUUAUAGAAAAGACUUAUUGAAUAUAUUUCCAAUUUUCGACAUUCAUAAAACAAAAAAUAAAAAAAGUGGUUCUAAUAAUUUAUUUAUACAAAAAAAAAAAAGUGGUCCUGACGUUCAUCCUUUCCCAUCUCUAUAAAUUUGCAUGCAGAACUAAAGCAACACAUAUCAACACAAUCUGUAUAACCAUGAAAACCACAACAGCUUCGGUGUUUCUUCUUUUCAUCAUCUUCUCAAUCACACCAUCGUCCUUUUCGUUUGGUGUGGCCAACUCUACAAACGCUCCUGUGCUCGACAGUGAUGGCAACGAGCUCCGCACGGGCACCCCAUACUUCGUUGUGUCGUCGAUAUGGGGUGCUGGUGGUGGGGGGCUUGCCCUAGGCAUGCCUAGCGGAAACCCAUGCCCGGAAGUCGUUGCUCAAAGAGGAUCCGGUGACGAUGGUAUUCCGGUGAUAUUUUCUAAUUCGGACUCCAACGAUGGCGUUGUUCGCCUAUCCUCUGACAUAAACAUAGAGUUCAUUCCCCUCAGACCCAAACUUUGCCGAACAACAACGGUGUGGAAGGUCGAUGAUUACGACCACUCAGCCGGAAAAUGGUGGGUGAUAACCGAUGGGGUUAAAGGGAACCCGGGUGCCAACACUUUGACCAGUUGGUUUAGAAUAGAGAAGUUGGGUGAUCUUGAUUACACAUUUAAGUACUGCCCCGCAGUAUGUGGAACAUGCCCAGCUUUAUGCAACGAAAUUGUGAGAGACUCAGAUGGAGAAAUGAUACGUUUGGCUCUCUCCAAUGGCCAUGGAUGGCAAUUUUACUUUAAGAAAGUUGAAACAUCAGCCAUGGAGAUUCAACAAGUUCAUAAUUAGAUUGAAAGCAAUCAUUAUGCAUGAACUAGUAGUUACUAUACAUUAUUACCUUCAAGUAAAUAAUGCCGAGAGAACUGAUUGUUAAUUAAGAUUGCCUUGUUUGAAGCAGCAGCAUGAAUAUAUAUAUAUGCUUGCUUACAAGGUUUGUCUCUCAGAGUCCUUCUCUUUGUACUCUUUCCAGCUUAAUGUAUAAACUGUCUACUUAUUUACUUCUUUUAUCGCCAUUGAUUCUAGUAGUAUUAGACUCAUUAACUUGGAUACAUUGUCUUGUAAUUAACCCAAAAAUUAUAUAUAUAUAAAAAAAGAGUGAGAGAGGAAAAUAGACUACCAAGUAACAAGCGAAAAACGGUAAUACUAGGGUUAUUUAGAGUGGUUUCAAUGCACAACGGGAAUGAAUUGUCGUUGGUUGGGUGGUUAGGGCACCUUACUUAUCUUUAGAGCUAAAGAAGGUUUCGUAACUACUCUUUCAAUAAUAUUAUUUUUAAGGUUCGAACCUGCAUUAUCCUUUGAACACGUAAUAUGUUUUAUCAUUACGCUCAACAUUAUUAAUGAUUUACUUUAUUCUAUUCUUAAUUAAUAAUUAUGAUAUAUAUUAAGUUUAAGAUGAAUUUUCUUAUUCAUGUAUAUCAAUUAAAUCAAAUAUUUGUAUUUAAAGUUUUAACCCAACAUUAACUUCUUCUUUUUUUUAUUUCUUUCUUUGUUGGUGAUGAUUAGGAGAUUGAUGGCCGGUCUUUGUGGUUGGUAGCUUUUAACACAAUGGCAAAGCCAAGGAGGCUUUAAAUGUUUAAAUGGAUUUUUUUUUCAUUUAAACUUCUUUAUAAUUUAUAAAAUUUUAAAUUAAUAAUGAUAAAAUUACAUUUUAAUCUUUUAAAAAUAAUAAAAAUGUGGAAGCACAUUUGUACGAUUAAUAAUAAUGAUAAGAUUUUUCCCACCACAUGGAAAUUUAUGGAAACGUCAUUGGGUUUUGUAUUUAUGUUUUAUUUGACACUCUUUUAAGUUUUAUUGGGAAGAUUUGCUUGAUUGUAAGUGAGGUAUUUUGGAGAGAAUGAUUUGUAACAAUUUAGAUUCAAUAUUCGAGUUGCAAAUAAAUAUAGAGUAAAGUAAUUUGGGCUUAGUGAAUUAUAGAAUAAAAUCAUAUUCUAAACAAAAUUUUAUAAAAUAAAAUUAAUGAAUCCUAACUAAGUUAACAAAUAUUUCUUCACUCUAGGCAUUGCUUCACCUUAUCUCAAAAUUGUUCUGUAAUAAUCUAUUUUGUCUCGACCUUUCCAACAGAAUUUAAAAUGAAACUAUUUCUGAUAAGUGCAGGCCAAAAACUUUUUCGCGUACCAAUAAAUGGCAAGCGACCAUACUGUGGGCCCAAUGUCCCAACAAUCAUCUAAACAUUUUUUUUAAUAAUAUGUAAUAAUUUAUAUACCAUAUAUGAAUAUUAAUUAAAAUAAUAUAAUAUGGACCCAAAUUGUUUCAUAUUUGAAAUCCAAUUUUUGAUAAUUUCACAUUUCAUAUUUUAUCUUAGAACAAAAAAAAUAUAUUUGAACUUAAUAUUUGGCCUAUUAAUCAAUGGUGUUUACUAUAUUUUAAGACUAUCGAAUUAAUCUAUCGACACUACUUGUAUGGUAUAAUUUAAAUGGGUGUGUGUGGGUAUAUAAAUUUGAAAUUCUAUUGUAUCAAAGAAAAAUUUAGAAAAAAAUAAAAAAAAAAAAGAAUUUGCAAUUUAUAAUUUGAGAUAAAAAUAAAAAAAUGAGAUUUGUGAUAAACCAUAAAUUAAGCUCAAAAAAAGUUACAACAAAUAUGGUUAAUGUUAUUUAUAUAUAUACUUAAUAAAAGUAAAAAUAUCGAAAUUCCAAUAUUAUUUUUAUUUAAUAAAAUAUAAUUAAUAUAUUUUAUAUAAAAUUUAAAUAUUUUAUUGAAAUAUUAUGUUAGGUAAAUUUAUAAAUAAAAUUAAUUUUACUAAAAUUUGAGAUAAGAGAAUUAAAUUAAUAAAAGGCAUAUUUCAUAUUUUAUAGUUAUUAUUAAUAAAAAAUUAUUAUAAAAAUAAAAAAUCAAUUCUACAACAUAAUGAAAUAUUUUUAUUAAAAAAACCAGAAAUGAUUGAUGGAAUAUAUUUCCAAUUUUCGACGUUCAUAAAAAAAAAAAGAGUGGUCCUAAUAAUUUAUUUAUUGGGAAAAAAAAAGUGGUCCUAUUAAUUUACCUCACAUUUGAAAUGUGUUAUAUGUAAUAAUAAUAAUAUCUAUAUAAAUUUUGGACGUUGAUCCUUUCCCAUCUCUAUAAAUUCGCAUGGAGAACUAAAGCAACACAUAUCAACACAAUUUAUAUAACCAUGAAAACCACAACAGCUUCGGUGUUUCUUCUUUUCAUCAUCUUCUCAGUCGCACUAUCGUCCUUUUUGUUUGGUGUAGCCAACGCUACAAACGACCCUGUGCUCGACAUUGAUGGCAACGAGGUUCAAACUGGCACCCCAUACUACGUUGUGUCGUCGAUAUGGGGUGCUGGUGGUGGGGGGCUUGCCCUAGGUAGGCCUAGAGGAAAGCCAUGCCCGGAAGUCGUUACUCAAAGACGAUCCGGUGACGAUGGUAUUCCGGUGAUAUUUUCUAAUUCGGACUCCAACGAUGGCAUUGUUCGCCUAUCCUCUGACAUAAACAUAGAGUUCAUUCCCCUCAGACCCAAACUUUGCCGAACAACAACGGUGUGGAAGGUCGAUGAUUACGACCAUUCAGCCGGAAAAUGGUGGGUGAUAACCGAUGGAGUUAAAGGGAACCCGGGUGCCAACACUUUGACCAGUUGGUUUAGAAUAGAGAAGGUGGGUGAUUUAAGUUACAAAUUUAAGUACUGCCCCACAGUAUGUGGAACAUGCCCAGCUUUAUGCAACGAAGUUGGGAAAGACUCAGAUGGAGAAAUGGUACGUUUUGCUCUCUCCACUGGCCCUGGAUGGUCAUUUUACUUUAAGAAAGUUGAAAAAUCAGCCAUGGAGAUUGAACAAGUUGUUCAUAUUUAGAUUGAAAGCAAUCAUUCUGCAUGAACUAGUAGUUAUUAUAUAAUAUUAGCUUCAAGUAAAUAAUGCUGAGAGAACUGAUUGUUAAGAUUGCCUUGUUUGAAGCAGCAGCAUGUAUAUAUAUAUAUGCUUGCUUACAAGGUUUGUCUCUCAGAGUCCUUCUCUUUGUACUCUUUUCAGCUUAAU
rnacentral:lncRNA from 1 species